AGUCCGCUAGAGUCCGCGCGCCGGGCAACCGCCCGGGGCUGAAGUCCUCCCCACACCAUGAUCCUUCCGUCCUUUAUUUUCUUUCUUUUUAAAAAGAAACAAGAUCUUGCUCUGUCGCCCAGGCUGGAGUGCAGUGCGCGAUCAUAGCUCACUGCAGCCUUGAACUCUUGGGCUAAUUUUUAUUUUUUGUAGAGAUGGGGUCUCGCUACGUUGCCCAGCUUCGAGUUACUUCCAGAACGUCGCAGCACACGUUAUCACUUCCUGCAUGACGUCUUUAUAGAAUUUGGUGACAAUGUCGCAGUCCAGGAGGGAGGCCCGCAGCCAGCAUCACCAGCCCCUUCCUGUUUGCACAGGCAGGGAGGAGAACGGCAGCUCCCAGGCUUCCACUGGGGAGUCCCUCCGGCUUUCUCCGGGAUUCCGCCCGCCCCAGGGUCUCAGACCAACAGAAGGACCCGGGAUCCCUCAGCAGCUCCGGACCUCAUCUGCCCCACUUCGGCAUCCCGCGCGGGAAUAUGACCAUGUAGGAGUAACCCGGGGCUCUCAAGGACUCUACGGUUUGUCACGGUUUGAACGCAAGCGCAGGGCCUGGGGCGGGUGCAGGUGGAGGGUCGGCCUCUUUCUGCCCUUGGGAACGCCCCUUUCUGGAUGUGGACCGGCGAGGCGGUCUCUCCUUUCUGCCCUCGCCUGGUGAAAUGUGGGCACUGCUGCCAGGAGAAAAAAAACUGAAGCUGUGAAUUCAGUUCAUCACCCUUCCCUUGUUUAUUAAAAAAUCGGACCUUGGCCGGGCGCGGUGGCUCACGCCUGUAAUCCCAGCACUUUGGGAGGCCGAGGCAGGCAGAUUAGGAGGUCAGGAGAUCGAGACCAUCUUGGUUAACACGGUGAAGCCCGGUCUCUACUAAAAAUACAAAAAAGUUAGCAGGGUGGUGGCGGUCGCCUGUUGUCCCAGCUGCUCGGGAGGCUGAGGCAGGAGAAUGGCGUGAACCCGGGAGGCGGAGCUUGCAGUGAGCCGAGGUCGUGCCACUGCACUCCAGCCUGGGUGAAAAAAUAAAAAAAAAAAAAGAUCAGGACCUUUACCCGCGCUGACGGUGAUUGGUUUUCAUGACCAAUAAAGAAAUUCGAAUGAGAUGAAGCUA